rnacentral:rRNA from 1 species
UACGUAGGGUGCAAGCGUUAAUCGGAAUUACUGGGCGUAAAGCGUGCGCAGACGGUUUUGUAAGUCUGACGUGAAAUCCCCGGGCUUAACCUGGGAAUUGCGUUGGAGACUGCAAGGCUGGAGUCUGGCAGAGGGGGGUAGAAUUCCACGUGUAGCAGUGAAAUGCGUAGAGAUGUGGAGGAACACCGAUGGCGAAGGCAGCCCCCUGGGUCAAGACUGACGCUCAUGCACGAAAGCGUGGGGAGCAAACAGG